rnacentral:rRNA from 1 species
AUUGAACGCUAGCGGCAUGCCUUAACAAUGCAAGUCGAACGAGUGGGGACGGGUGAGUAACACGUGGGUAACCUCCCAUCCGAGGGGAUAACACUUGGAAACAGGUGCUAAACCGAUCCUGAUGGAUGGACCCGCGGUGCAUUAGCUAGUUGGUGAGGUAACGGCUCACCAAGGCCACGAUGCAUAGCCGACCUGAGAGGGUGAUAGGCAACACUGGAACUGAGAAACGGCCCAGACUCCGACGGGAGGCAGCAGUAGGGAAUCUUCGGCAAUGGACGAAAGUCUGACCGAGCAAUGCCGCGUGAGUGAAGAAGGUUUGCGGAGCGGAAAACUCUGGUGUUAGAGAAGCGGUAUCUAACCAGAAAGCAACGGCUAACUACGUGCCAGCAGCCGCGGUAAUAC